GGGCUGCAGUGGGGAAUUUUGGACAAUGGGGGCAACCCUGAUCCAGCCAUUCCGCGUGAGUGAAGAAGGCCUUCGGGUUGUAAAGCUCUUUCAGCCGGAAAGAAACGGUGCGCUCUAACAUAGCGUGCUAAUGACGGUACCGGCAGAAGAAGCACCGGCUAACUACGUGCCAGCAGCCGCGGUAAUACGUAGGGUGCGAGCGUUAAUCGGAAUUACUGGGCGUAAAGCGUGCGCAGGCGGUUUUGUAAGACAGAUGUGAAAUCCCCGGGCUUAACCUGGGAACUGCAUUUGUGACUGCAAGGCUAGAGUGUGGCAGAGGGGGGUAGAAUUCCACGUGUAGCAGUGAAAUGCGUAGAGAUGUGGAGGAACACCGAUGGCGAAGGCAGCCCCCUGGGAUAACACUGACGCUCAUGUACGAAAGCGUGGGUAGCAAACAGGAUUAGAUACCCCAGUAGUC
rnacentral:rRNA from 1 species